rnacentral:rRNA from 1 species
GCUUAACGCGAAGAACCUUACCAAGGCUUAAAUGGGAAACGACGGAUCUGGAAACAGGUCUUCCUUCGGGCGUUUUUCAAGGUGCUGCAUGGUUGUCGUCAGCUCGUGCCGUGAGGUGUCAGGUUAAGUCCUAUAACGAGCGCAACCCCUGUUGUUAGUUGCCAGCGAGUCAAGUCGGGAACUCUAGCAAGACUGCCGGUGCAAACCGUGAGGAAGGUGGGGAUGACGUCAAAUCAUCACGGCCCUUACGCCUUGGGCUACACACGUGCUACAAUGGACGGUACAGAGAGCAGCCAGUGGGUGACCACGAGCGAAUCUACAAAACCGUUCUCAGUUCGGAUCGGAGUCUGCAACUUGACUCCGUGAAGCUGGAAUCGCUAGUAAUCGGAUGUCAGCCAUGAUCCGGUGAAUACGUUCCCGGGUCUUGUACACACCG